rnacentral:lncRNA from 1 species
GGGGGGGCACCUUUUAUUUCUAUUUUUAAAGGGACAGGACACUAAUUCUACCCCACUUCAACCUUGAAUUCAGGGGGGUGGGGGGAAGGCGGCUGAGUUCCUUCCCCCACCUUCCAGCCCUGAGCCCUGAGAGGGGGAUUGAGCCUGAGAGAGGAGAAGGAGUUUCUUCUUCUUCGAAAACCCCCAUCCACGACUCCUACCCCCUCACCCCUCCAACUCGCCUCCCUCCCGAGCCCCCUCCACCCUCCUCCUCUUUGGCCGUGAGAGGAGGAGAGAAAGAAACCAAAAGCCUCUUAGCAACACAGACCCUUUGCUGCUGCUGUUGCUGCUGCUGCUGCUGUUGCUGCUGCUGCUACUGCUGCUGCUGCUACUGCUGCUGCUGCUACUGCUGCUGCUUGGCCCUGGCUGGAGACAUCUCACUACACCCAGGAGCAGCCACUUCCCCAGCUCUCCUCCUCCUCCUUCGCCUCCUCCUCCUCCACUCCCCCCCUUUAUUACCCUUUGUGUCAUCCUCCACAGCUCCAGGGAAGGCACUCAAAAGUGGGGGGCAGGAAAGACAAUUAUCAACUUUCCAGUUUUCUAUGGAUAUGAAGAUUUACUCCUAGUCAUCAGUGGGACCCCCAUGAAGUCAGCCAGAAAGCCUAUAUCCAACUUAUGUACCUUUGCAAACUUGUCUGGAUUUUGACUGUAUGUGCAAAACAGAUUGUACUUAGUGAUUCAUUAAACAUCUUUUGAUCAUCUGCUGUCUGCCAGGCACUGUGCUAGGCAUCUGAAAAACAAAGAUGGUCCCUGCAGUUUAAUGUGAAGAGCUAUCUUAAUUGUAUUCCACAAGUGUAUUGGUCGUAUCUUUGUUUUGGUGUUUCUACCUAAAUAAAUUUUAUAUUAACUAAAUGGAUACUGUUA